AUGGUCUGGACUUAUCUUCUCAUUUCCCACACCCUUCGUGACUGGGAUGUGAAAUUCAACCAGGUGCUGAAUGGCGGUCCCUGCAUGGACGUGGGGACCCAGAAGAUGGACAGUGUGCGGCAAUGCGCUCCCUCGAAGCCAGGCUCCUCCCACCACCCAGAUGGUCCGGAGUAUCAGACUCCUCCAGCACCUAUGGCUCCCCACCAGGAGGGAGGCGCUGCUGCCAGUUUGGGUCCCUGCUUUCUAAAGGAAAGGCCACUGCUCUCUCUGGCUUCCAGCUGUGAUGUCUGGUCACCCCCGCCUCCCUCCUGAAGCAGCCGCACCCAGGGUGCAUGCCCACCCAGUGGCCCUUAUGAAGUGGUGAUCACUCUGACCAGCAGGUGAGUGCCCUCUGGGAAGAGACCUCAGUGGGCAUCUGAAAACGAGGUCUCAGCUCUCACGUGCAGGAGGGAAGGGGAAGGAGCCAACU
rnacentral:lncRNA from 1 species